AUUAGCUUUGAGCAGACCUUGGGGUGAGACUGCUGGAGGAAAUGCUCUGGCUGAGAAGUAGACUCUGAUAAGGAUUGUUCCAUGCUGGCAAAAUCUCCCAUGGAAAGUCCAAGAGAAAAUUCAAGGAAGAUCUGCAGUUUGCAGAGUUUUGCAUUGCUUGCUUCUGGCUUAUUCAGUGCCUCAGAUCAGAGGGAUCCUUGCAAGGAAACCACCCGGUCUGGUGGCUCUUGUCAGCCCCAGAGCAUCCCAGUGGGGUGAGGUCUGUAACUGCAGCUCUUGCAUUGCUCUGCUUGGAGGAACUCUGCCUUGCUGCAGCCAGGAAAGCAUUGGUGCGUUUUCUGUGUGCCACAGUUUCAAAGCCCUGGAGAAGAGCUCUGUUAAAUCCCACGGGAGUGGUGUGGGAGAUUCUCUCAUCUGUUCCUUACACCCUGCUCUGAAAGGUCACUAAUCUGGUUGCAGAAGCAAGUGCUAAUUAGGUGUGUGCACAC